rnacentral:rRNA from 1 species
UGAGGAAUAUUGAGCAAUGGGCGCAAGCCUGACUCAGCAACGCCGCGUGGAUGAAGAAGGCCUUCGGGUUGUAAAAUCCUUUUCUGGGGGAAGAUAAUGACGGUACCCCAGGAAUAAGUUCCGGCUAACUACGUGCCAGCAGCCGCGGUAAAACGUAGGGGACGAGCGUUAUCCGGAUUUACUGGGCGUAAAGCGCAUGUAGGUGGCUUGAAAAGUUGGACGUGAAAGCUCCCGGCUUAACUGGGAGAGGUCGUUCAAAAACUGGCAAGCUUGAGGUUGGAAGAGGAGAGCGGAAUUCCCGGUGUAGUGGUGGAAUGCGUAGAUAUCGGGAGGAACACCAGUGGCGAAAGCGGCUCUCUGGUUCAAUACUGACACUGAGAUGCGAAAGCGUGGGGAGCGAACGGGAUUAGAUACCCCGGUAGUCCACGCUGUAAACGAUGGAUACUAGGUGUAGGCGGUCAUUAACCCCGUCUGUGCCGAAGCCAACGCGUUAAGUAUCCCGCCUGGGGACUACGGCCGCAA